rnacentral:lncRNA from 1 species
AGGCCCAGCCUCAUGUGGGAGGUGAGGAGAAAGGACCCUUCCAGAGGGCCCCCCCUCAAUCCUGUUGUGCCUAAUUCAGAGGGUUGGGUGGAGGCUCUCCUGAAGGGCUCUGAAGAGCGCUGCACCCGCAGCUGUGUGCCAGGAGUGGAGACAGGACAGUCGAUACAAGAGGGGCCCCUGUCAUGUCAGCUGCUGAGUCCCCUGGGGCGGCCGGGCACUGGGGAAUGGUGAACUCGCCGUGCCGCGCCUCUGCCACAGUCUCCCGUGGGUCCCCACUGCCGGGAGUUUUACCUACCUCCCACCCUCAGCCACGAGCACCUGCAGGAUGCGGUGCCAUCCUCGCCGGUGCCCGCUCCCCUUCCGGAGGCUCUCUCCACCCUCACUGACGCCUCCUCGGGAAAGCCCCCGCUCCUUCCCCGACCUCACAGCAUGCCAGGUCUGGGGCUUCCGCUGGGGGGCUUACCUGUUUUCCACCCCUGCUAGACUGGGAGCUCCAGGGCAAGGCCGUAGCUGCCUUGCGGAUUGUUACGUUGUCCAGCUUGUCUCCACACGUGAUACCCAGCAGGUGCCUAAUAAACUUGUGUAGAAAGAGUG